UCAUUACAGACUCGGAGUCAAGACACAGAAGCAGUCAAGUUGAAGAUUGCAGGAAACAACAUGAACAAAUGGUUCUGUAGAGAUAGAUAAUUGGAGCUCGGAGUGAAGACUGGAAUGUCUAGGCACUCAAGCAAAGUGGAAAAUGGCCUUGAUCGGAUAUUAGGGUCCCGCUUGGUGGCAUCUAUGGAUCUGUGUUGGUAUGGGAUGGUACAGAGUAAUGGAGACUACUUGUGAGUACUUGGCAUCGGUGUAAUGUGAUAGAGUCUAAAGUCUUGAUGUUGAAUGGAAAAGGUCGGAAUUAUCACAAGGCUGUAAGGUGGGUACGUUGCAACACCAGGUGUUUGGAGGUGAGUUGCCAGAGG
rnacentral:lncRNA from 1 species